rnacentral:rRNA from 1 species
UGGGGAAUCUUGCGCAAUGGGCGAAAGCCUGACGCAGCAACGCCGCGUGCGGGAUGAAGGCCUUCGGGUUGUAAACCGCUUUCAGCAGGGAAGAAAUUGACGGUACCUGCAGAAGAAGCCCCGGCCAACUACGUGCCAGCAGCCGCGGCAACACGUAGGGGGCGAGCGUUGUCCGGAUUUAUUGGGCGUAAAGAGCUCGUAGGCGGUUCGCUAAGUCGGGUGUGAAACCUCCAGGCUCAACCUGGAGACACCACCUGAUACUGGUGUGACUAGAGUCCGGUAGGGGAGUGUGGAACUCCUGGUGUAGCGGUGAAAUGCGCAGAUAUCAGGAAGAACACCAGCGGCGAAGGCGGCACUCUGGGCCGGUACUGACGCUGAGGAGCGAAAGCGUGGGUAGCAAACAGGAUUAGAUACCCUGGUAGUCCACGCCGUAAACGUUGGGCACUAGGUGUGGGUCUCGAACCAACGAGAUCCGUGCCGCAGCUAACGCAUUAAGUG